GACGAACGCUGGCGGCGUGCUUAACACAUGCAAGUCGAACGGAAAGGCCCCUUUGGGGGUACUCGAGUGGCGAACGGGUGAGUAACACGUGAGUAACCUGCCCUUGACUUCGGGAUAACUUCAGGAAACUGGGGCUAAUACCGGAUAGGAAUCCUUGCUGAAUGGUGGGGGUUGGAAAGCUUCGGCGGGUGUGGAUGGACUCGCGGCUUAUCAGCUUGUUGGUGGGGGAGUGGCUGACCAAGGCUUGGACGGGUAGCCGGCCUGAGGGGGCGACCGGCCACAUUGGGACUGAGAUAAGGCACAGACUCCUACGGGAGGGAGAAGGGGGGAAUAUUGCACAAUGGGCGGAAGCCUGAUGCAGAAACGCCGCGUGCGGGAUGACGGCCUUCGGGUUGUAAAACGAUUUCAGCAGGGGCGAAGCUUGUGGUGACGGUACCUGACGAAGAAGCACCGGCUAACUACGUG
rnacentral:rRNA from 1 species